GAUGAGCGCUGGCGGCGUGCCUAAUACAUGCAAGUCGAGCGAACGGACGAGAAGCUUGCUUCUCUGAUGUUAGCGGCGGACGGGUGAGUAACACGUGGAUAACCUACCUAUAAGACUGGGAUAACUUCGGGAAACCGGAGCUAAUACCGGAUAAUAUUUUGAACCGCAUGGUUCAAAAGUGAAAGACGGUCUUGCUGUCACUUAUAGAUGGAUCCGCGCUGCAUUAGCUAGUUGGUAAGGUAACGGCUUACCAAGGCAACGAUGCAUAGCCGACCUGAGAGGGUGAUCGGCCACACUGGAACUGAGACACGGUCCAGACUCCUACGGGAGGCAGCAGUAGGGAAUCUUCCGCAAUGGGCGAAAGCCUGACGGAGCAACGCCGCGUGAGUGAUGAAGGUCUUCGGAUCGUAAAACUCUGUUAUUAGGGAAGAACAUGUGUGUAAGUAACUGUGCACAUCUUGACGGUACCUAAUCAGAAAGCCACGGCUAACUACGUG
rnacentral:rRNA from 1 species